rnacentral:rRNA from 1 species
CCUACGGGAGGCAGCAGUGAGGAAUAUUGGUCAAUGGACGCAAGUCUGAACCAGCCAUGCCGCGUGCAGGAAGACGGCUCUAUGAGUUGUAAACUGCUUUUGUACGAGGGUAAACGCAGAUACGCGUAUCUGUCUGAAAGUAUCGUACGAAUAAGGAUCGGCUAACUCCGUGCCAGCAGCCGCGGUAAUACGGAGGAUUCAAGCGUUAUCCGGAUUUAUUGGGUUUAAAGGGUGCGUAGGCGGUCGGAUAAGUUAGAGGUGAAAUCCCGAGGCUCAACUUCGGAAGUGCCUCUGAUACUGUUCGGCGAGAGAGUAGUUGCGGUAGGCGGAAUGUAUGGUGUAGCGGUGAAAUGCUUAGAGAUCAUACAGAACACCGAUUGCGAAGGCAGCUUACCAAGCUACUUCUGACGUUGAGGCACGAAAGCGUUGGGAGCAAACAGGAUUAGAUACCCGGGUAGUC